AUACAGGAAGUUGUCUGUAGUGACUCACCUUAGCAUGAUUCCCUGUGUAUCCUACUGUGGCCUGUUGUCCUUUUGAUCAAACUCCAGUUGGAUUAUGUCUGAGCCAAACUGAGAGCAGAGAGCGCCACAAGGGUGUCCCUGAAGUUUUGUCCCUGAAGGGUGUCCCUGAAGUUUGAAGACUAUGUAUGCCAGCACCACGUCAGUUGUGCCGUCAUCAGUGGAUGGUCGUGAACUUCUCCAGUUGGUCCGCAACACUUAAAGUCUUUUUUAAUUUGUUAAGUUUGGUGACAGUGUCGUGUGUGACAUGUUUGCCAUGUUUCCUGUUAAACUCCAUCACAACCUUGCAACAGCUUCCCGAUCAAGCCAUGAGAAUGAUUUCAAUAUGUUCUGGUUUUGUCAAUGGCAUUCUUAAAGGCUGUCAGAAAAAAAAAUAGAAACUAAGUAUUUUGGAAAAGUUUAAUUUUCCCCUAUGUAUGGAGACAUUUGGAACUAUAUUUCUGUCUCACCUUGAUAGAUUAUGCAAUGCAUUGUGUUUGAUCCCAAGGCGUAGGUUUGCAUAUGGACAGUAGGGACAUGUAACUUAUGGGUGAAAGUUGUGUUCCACAAUGUGAUCAGACCAACCAGAUAUUUGAAACACACAGGCAAAGAAUCUUAAUAGACUGGAAACCAUAUUAUUUACUGAUAUAAACAGCACUAUAUGACCUACACUGCCUUUUUUCUGCAUGGAAACAGUCAUGGAGAUAUUUUUAACUUUGCAUGUUGCUCUUGGCAGCAGCAGGGAAAUAAAUAAAUACUGCA